rfam:Gossypium raimondii Chr04_contig_32, whole genome shotgun sequence.
UGUUAAAAAUGUUAUCCAUUUCUACUAUUAAAAAUUGUCACAACUGACAAAAUAAUCAGACAGUUACACAUAGUGUGGACAUGUACCUUAUGCUGACAUACAGAGAUCAGUUUUUAACUGUAAAAAUGGAUGGAAUUGUUAGUA